AUUGAACGCUGGCGGCAUGGCUAAAACAUGCAAGUCGAACGCGAAAGAGGAGCAAUCCUCGAGUAGAGUGGCGAAAGGGUGAGUAAUACGUUCCUACGUGCCUUGAGGUCAGGGAUAGCCAGGGGAAACUCUGGGUAAUACCUGAUGUGGUCUCCGGAUCAAAGGCUUGCCGCCUCGAGAGCGGGGAGCGUCCUAUCAGCUAGUUGGUGAGGUAAUGGCUCACCAAGGCGAAGACGGGUAGCGGGUGUGAGAGCACGGCCCGCCACAUCGGAACUGAGACACUGUCCGGACUCCUACGGGAGGCUGCAGUAACGAAUCUUCCGCAAUGCGCGAAAGCGUGACGGAGCGAUGCCGCGUGCAGGAUGAAGCCCUUCGGGGUGUAAACUGCUGUCAGGGAUUAGCAACACAAUGAGCAGUCCUAAAGGAAGAGACGACUAACUCUGUGCCAGCAGUCGCGGUAAUACAGAGGUCUCG
rnacentral:rRNA from 1 species